UACGUAGGGUGCGAGCGUUAAUCGGAUUUACUGGGCGUAAAGCGUGCGCAGGCGGCCCGUUAAGACAGGUGUGAAAUCCCUGGGCUCAACCUAGGAAUUGCGCUUGUGACUGGCGGGCUCGAGUACGGUAGAGGGGGGUGGAAUUCCUGGUGUAGCAGUGAAAUGCGUAGAUAUAGGGAGGAACACCGGUUGCGAAGGCAGCCCCCUGGGCCUGUACUGACGCUCAUGCACGAAAGCGUGGGGAGCAAACAGG
rnacentral:rRNA from 1 species